GGCCAGAUAGCUCAGUUGGUAGAGCAGAGGAUUGAAAAUCCUCGUGUCGGCGGUUCGAUUCCGCCUCCGGCCA
rnacentral:tRNA from 1 species